rnacentral:rRNA from 1 species
AAUCAACGCUGGCGGCGUGCCUAACACAUGCAAGUCGAACGAGAAAGUGGAGCAAUCCAUGAGUAAAGUGGCGCACGGGUGAGUAACACGUGACUAACCUACCCUUGAGUGGGGGAUAACCUAGGGAAACCUGGGCUAAUACCGCAUAAUACCUACGGGUCAAAGGAGCAAUUCGCUUUAGGAGGGGGUCGCGGCAGACUAGUUAGUUGGCGGGGUAAUGGCCCACCAAGACGAUGANCUGUAUCCGGCCUGAGAGGGCGCACGGACACACUGGAACUGAAACACGGUCCAGACUCCUACGGGAGGCAGCAGUGGGGAAUUUUGCGCAAUGGGGGAAACCCUGACGCAGCAACGCCGCGUGGAGGAUGAAGACCCUUGGGUCGUAAACUCCUUUCGAUCGGGACGAUAAUGACGGUACCGGAAGAAGAAGCCCCGGCUAACUUCGUGCCAGCCGCCGCCGUAA